UACGGAGGGUGCAAGCGUUACUCGGAAUUACUGGGCGUAAAGCGUGCGUAGGUGGUUUGUUAAGUCUGUUGUGAAAGCCCCGGGCUCAACCUGGGAAUGGCAAUGGAUACUGGCAAGCUAGAGUGCGGUAGAGGGUAGUGGAAUUCCCGGUGUAGCGGUGAAAUGCGUAGAGAUCGGGAGGAACACCGGUGGCGAAGGCGGAUCUCUGGGCCAUUACUGACGCUGAGGAGCGAAAGCGUGGGGAGCGAACAGG
rnacentral:rRNA from 1 species